rnacentral:rRNA from 1 species
AUUGAACGCUGGCGGUAGGCCUAACACAUGCAAGUCGAGCGGAGCGGCGGACGCGGAAGUAAUGGCUAGGUAUCUGCCAGGUACUGGGGGAUAACGUCCGGAACCGGGCGCUAAUACCGCAUCCUAUCACAUUCGUCUAGGCCGGAUUAGCUAGUUGGUGGGGUAAAGGCAUACCAAGGCGACGACCCGUAGCUGGUCUGAGAGGAUGAUCAGUCACACUGGAACUGAGACACGGUCCAGACUCCUACGGGAGGCAGCAGUGGGGAAUAUUGGACAAUGGGCGAAAGCCUGAUGCAGCCAUGCCGCGUGUGUGAAGAAGGUCUUCGGAUUGUAAAGCACUUUAAGCUGGGAGGCGUUACCAGCAGAAUAAGCACCGGCUAACUUCGUGCCAGCCGCCGCGGUAAUUC